rnacentral:rRNA from 1 species
AGUGAACGCUGGCGGUAGGCCUAACACAUGCAAGUCGAACGGCAGCACCGUAAGUGCUUGCUCUUACGGGUGGCGAGUGGCGGACGGGUGAGGAAUACAUCGGAAUCUACUUUUUCGUGGGGGCUAACGUCGGGAAACUUCCGCUGAUACCGCAUUCGACCUACGGGUGUAAGCAGGGGUUCUUUGAGCUUUUUGCGAUUGAAUGAGCCGAUGUCGGAUGAGCUAGUUGGCGGGGUAAAGGCCCACCAAGGCUACACUCCGUAGCUGGUCUGACAGGAAGAAUACCCAGCCGGGAACUGAGAAACGGCCCAGACACCGACGGUAAGAAACAGUGGAGAAUAUUAGACAAGGGAGGAAAGCCGAAUCCAGCCAUACGGCGUGGGUGAAGAAGGACUUCGGGUGGGAGAGCCCUGUUGGCGGGAAAGAAAAGCAGCACGUUAAUACCCCACGGUAAUGACGGUACCCAAAGAAUAAGCACCGGCUAACUUCGUG